AUUGAACGCUGGCGGCAGGCCUAACACAUGCAAGUCGAGCGGAUGAAGGGAGCUUGCUCCUGGAUUCAGCGGCGGACGGGUGAGUAAUGCCUAGGAAUCUGCCUGGUAGUGGGGGAUAACGUCCGGAAACGGGCGCUAAUACCGCAUACGUCCUGAGGGAGAAAGUGGGGGAUCUUCGGACCUCACGCUAUCAGAUGAGCCUAGGUCGGAUUAGCUAGUUGGUGGGGUAAAGGCCUACCAAGGCGACGAUCCGUAACUGGUCUGAGAGGAUGAUCAGUCACACUGGAACUGAGACACGGUCCAGACUCCUACGGGAGGCAGCAGUGGGGAAUAUUGGACAAUGGGCGAAAGCCUGAUCCAGCCAUGCCGAGUGUGUGAAGAAGGUCUUCGGAUUGUAAAGCACUUUAAGUUGGGAGGAAGGGCAGUAAGUUAAUACCUUGCUGUUGUGACGUUACCAACAGAAUAGGCACCGGCUAACUUCG
rnacentral:rRNA from 1 species